UAUCAUUGGUGCCUAAGAGAAGGCUUUUAGGAAGGGCCAACUUUGGUUGGAAGAUAGACCUCAACAGCUCGAAAGGUUUCAUUCUCCACAGCUUGCCAUCGGUCUUCAAUGAUGAAGGUGAAGUCUGAGGAGAAGUAGGAGCAAAGAAAUCUGAAAAGCUUUAGCUAUCAGUCACGCAUACCCCUUGGAAUCAUUUCAUUCAAUAUGGUGCGGAUUAGCAUGGAUAAACCAGAUAUGGAUGCGUAUAUAGAGAGGAUUGUGCUCAUGGAGGGCAAUUCCUUCAAGAGAGAAGCCAUUUCAGAUUUCGAAAAGCAAGCAAAGAACGAUGGAGGAGAGUAUGUGCAGAGAGAAGGCGAAGCUUGGUCACUUGUAUGGGAUGAGCAAGGUUAUUUAUAGACCAAAGAGGGAAUGGAAUUAUUGUUUGGAAUUGUCCACGAAAAUUAGCUCGAAUUUCUUUGGUUUGUAAACGCGUGAUAAGAUGGAAAAGAUAUCUCCCGUCUACAGCUAGCGGAGAGAGCACUGCUGUGCUUUGUUUGGAGAAACCUCAUAGAAUGUGCUUUGUUUAGAGAAACCUCAUAGAAUGUGCUAGGAAAGGAACAAUACAGAAAACGCUCAUUGAAAAAGGGUACUUAACUGAAGAUGAAGAAGCAGUGCAGACAUCUUAUGGUCACCUCAUUCACACUUGAAUAAUGAGAAGGGUGGGAAAUGGGCAAGAACCUUCCCUUCCUUUCCAGAUAAGCUCGAGGGAAUUGAACGGAAAUUGCCAUAUCUCCCCUUUCAUAAGGUCUUAUUAGCUGUAAUCUUGCAGUUUAAACCAUAUUUCAGAUAAUAAAGUGCAGGAAUAUACCUUCUGCCACCAUUAACCUCUUCCACUCGGGCUUCUUUAGUAAUGGAACACAGCAUCCGCCCCCCCCCCCCCCUAUUCGCAUUUAAAAUUUAAUUUAAUUUUUUUUUGUAAAAUAACAAAGCCCACAAAGUAUAACAAAAUCAUGAUUGAAAAAUAUGAAUUAAAUAAAUAUGGCGUUUCUUAAUAUGAAUCACAACAGGCUAAAACUGUACUAUUCCACGUAUGAGCAUAGAAAUUCCAUAAAAGACGACAUUAAUUUAGCCGAGAAGUCAGAAGACUUUCUUCAAGAACAAGACAUCUUUGGAACCAUGAGAUUACCUCUUCCCUAGCAGAUGCCACUCAUUCUCGUACAAAUACACAAGCUCUUAACGUCUAGAUAAAUACACCUCUAUGAAAGGUGUCAAUGCAUUUCCGAUGCUAUUUAUUUCUGAAUCUCUCCUGGUAAGAACGAAGAAAAUCAUGGAUCUCAAUCACACAUAGAUGAGACAUUAAACGGAUGAAAAUGAACAAGAAAGUACAACUUCAGUCCUUUCCCUCGCUCAAAGACCUUUGCACUGUUACAGGUAGAAGAAGAAGAAAUUGAAUAAAAGGAACUACGGCAGGCCACGUAUUCAAAAGUUAGUUAUCCUUACACACGCGAGCCACGCAUUCAAAAGUUAAUUAUAGAAGUCAUACGCGUCGUUUCAUUUAAAUAACCAUACGCACCGUUUCAAUUCCAUAAAACAGCUGCAUGGCAGUUAGCACACAGCCUGCGUGCUGAAGGUUUUCAUAACCAAUUAGCAUUGCAAUAUUCUAUAUAAAGGCAUAUGCAUGAUAACAGGAAAAAAAAAACAAGAAUUAUAAUGAAAGAUUGAAUUCCUUAUUAUCAGGUAACAAAUAUCAGUGUGUUGUUGGUGUGGUAUCAACAACUUCCGAAAAUCCUCUCUAUCAAAUCCUAUUACAGCAUUAACCAUCACUGGAGACCAUCCAAUUUGGUUCCAUCAUUUCUUCAUCCCUACAAAAUACAAGCCAUUCAGGAAUGGCUAAUGCCUACAGGAUUAAAAUAACUAUGGGGGGUUUUGGGGUUGACUGGUUACUAUAGAAGAUUUGUCAAGGGCUAUGGUAGCAUUUGCAAACCACUCACUCAAUUACUCAAGAAAGAGGCCAAAGGCUGGAAUGAAGCGGCCACCACAACUUUCAAUCAGUUGAAAACAAUUAUGACUAGUGCUCCAGUACUAGCUCUACCAGAUUUCAACAAAACGUUCAUCGUGGAGACAGAUGCAUCCAUAAUUGGUGUGGGAGCAAUACUUAUGCAAGAUGGACACCCCAUUGCAUUCAUUAGCAAAUCUUUGGGUCCUAAACAAUAAGUAAUGUCAGUAUACGAGUGGGAAAUGCUGGUCAUUCUCCAGGCAGUCACCAAAUGGAAGCAUUAUCUCUGGGGACGCCAUUUUAUCAUCAAAACAAACCACAUAAGUUUGAAAUAUCUUCUACAGCAGAAGCUGACUACCCCUGCACAACACGUAUGGUUGGUGAAGUUAUUGGGGUACGACUACGAUAUAGAAUACAAGCAAGGCCGCGAAAAUGUUCCUGCAGAUGCCCUUUCCAGAAUUCCUAACAAAGAGGUAUAUGCUCUGACCACUUCACCAUUUCCACUGACAUCCUGGCAUAAAUCAAGAAUUCCUAUGAAGAUGACGUUACAGUUCAAGGAAUUAUUAAACAGUUACAAGAGUCUACUAACACCCAUCCACACUACACUUGGGUAAAUGAUCACCUUAACAGAAAAGGGAAGGUGGUAGUAGGGAAGAAUCCUGCAUACAGAACAAGCUCAUUUCCAUGUUUCAUAGUUUAGCUGUUGGAGGACACUCGGGCAUGACAAUAACAGCUAAAAAAAUUAGGGGGUUAUUUUAUUGGAAGGGUCAGCAGAAACACAUCAGGCAAUUCGUCAGGAAUGCAAUGUGUGCCAGAGGAAAUAAACAUGAAACACAGCCAGUCCCUGGACUCCUUCAACCAUUACCCAUUCCUUCAGCUCCAUUCAUCGACAUCAACAUGGAUUUCAUUGAAGGCUUCCCAAAUCUGAAGGGAGGAGGUGAUAUUAGUGGUGGUGAUCGUUUCAGCAAAUACGCACACUACAUGGCUCUCAGUCAUCCUUACUCUGCCUCAGGGGUGGCCAAACCUUUAUGAACAAUGUCUAUAAACUACACGGAUUACCAACCUCGAUAACCAGCGACAGAGAUCCAGUCUUUUUGAGCAGGUUUUGAAAAGAAUUAUUCACUAGUCAAGGGGUCAACCUUAACUAUUCCUCAGCCUACCACCCACAGACAGACGACCAAACUGAAAUUGUUAACAAAUGCAUCGAACAAUAGUUACGCUGCAUGACUGGUGAUUGCCCGAACCAGUGGGUCAAGUGGUUACCUUUGGCUGAAUGGUGGUACAAUACCAACUACCACUCAGCCACCAAAUGACACCUUAUCAAGUUUUAUAUGGAGUUGUUCCACCCCUACACAUUCCCUAUUUCCCUAAAGAUUCAGCUGUGGAAUCAGUUGAUAAGUACUUAUCAGCUAAAGAAGAAGUCAUCAAGAGGGUCAGGGAACAUCUCCAAGCAGCACAGAACAUGAUGAUUAUGGUGGCUAACAAGAAAAGGAGUGAUCGCAGUUUUGAGAUUAAUGACUAUGUCUUCCUCAAAAUCCAACCAUACAGGCAACAUUCAUUGGUGUAGGUCCUCACAGAAGUUAGCAACAAAAUAUUAUGGGCCUUAUCGGGUAUUGGCUAAGAUAGGAAAGGUGGCUUACAAGCUGGAAUUGCCAGUUUCAACACUUAUUCAUCCAGUGUUCCAUGUUUCUCAGCUUAAAAAACAUAUUGGAAAUCACACAAUACAAGGCACUCCUCCGAUGAUACCAAAAACAGCUGCUCUACAGCCUCGUACAGUGUUAGACCGAAGAAUGGUGAAACUUCACAAUCAAGCACACACUCAAGUAUUGAUACUCUAGGAAGGACUAGCUCUUACUAAGGCUACUUGGGAAGACCUGGAGGAGAUUCAGCUGCGCUUUCAACUUUUCAACCUUGAGGACAAGCUUGGUUUCAAGGGGAGGCAAUUGUUACAGGCAGAAGAAGAAGAAAUGGAAUAAAAGAACUAAGGCAGGCCACGCAUUUAAAAGUUAGUUAUCCUUACACACGUGAGCCACACAUUCAAAAGUUAGUUAUAGAAGCCAUAUGCACCAUUUCAUUUAAGUAACCAUACACACCGUUUCAAUUCCAUAAAACAGUUGCAUGGCAGUUAGCACACAGCCUGCGUGCUGAAGGUUUUCAUAACCAAUUAGCAUUGCAAUAUUCUAUAUAAAGGAAUAUGCAUGAUAACAGGGAAAAAAAAACAAGAAUUAUAAUGAAAGAUUGAAUUCCUUAUUAUCAGGUAACAAAUAUCAGUGUGUUGUUGGUGUGGUAUCAACAACUUCCAAAAAUCCUCUCUAUCAAAUCCUAUUACAGCAUUAACCAUAACUGGAGACCAUCCAAUUUGGUUCCAUCAUUUCUUCACCCUUAACACAUAAGCUAAAAAAGGAUCCAAAGAAAGUUGCACAAAGUUCAAGAACAUAUGAGAAGUAGCAAGAUUUUUUCAUUGCCUUGUAUUUUCCCUUAUCAACAUAUAUUAUAAAUCUAAAUUUCUCUUUGAAGUUUAGUAGUAAUACUCUUUCACAAACUAAUUGGCAAACAAAAUCUUUAAAUAGAAUUUUGGGUAAUUUAAUUCCUUCAAACAUAGUGCUAUUGAUAUCAUUUAAGAUUUUAAUUAUUUAUUUUCUAAUUAAUGUUAAGACUUUAAUUAUUUGUUAGCCUAGGAUUUUUAAUUUAAUUAAUAUUUUACUAUUUAAAAAUUCUAAUGUUGGAUGGAAUCAAUUAAUUAAAUAAAUUUUAAUUAUGAAUCUUUUUAUAUAAAAAAAAUUAGAACUAUUAUAAAUAAGGGAUGUUUAAUUUAUUUUUGAGAGAUUAAGAUUAUAAUUUAAAUUUUUAUAAAAUACCAAGAAAGUUUUCUAAAUUUUUCAACAACUUAGGUCAUGAAAUUAUAAUAACCCUAUAAAAAACAAAUCAAAAUAAAACAUGAAGACCAAUUCAUAAUCAAUUCAAUCUUGAUAGAAAAUUUUGAAAAUAAUAUUAAAUUAAAAAAAGACAAAAAAAACUACUUGGAUCAACCUGUCAAACUUGUAACUCAAGUCAUGAGAUUUGGAUAAUCCUAUAAAAAGCAUAUAAAAAAAUAUGUGAAACUAAAUUUCCAACCAAACCAAUAUUGAAGAAUGAAAAGAAAAAAAAAGAAAUAACUCAAGUCAACCCAGACUAACCUGUUAGACUAUCCCGCUGAAUCAUGAGAUAUUGAUAACUUUAUAAAAUAAAAAUAAAUAAAUAUUAUAAAAAUUUAUUUUCAAUAGAUUUAAUGUUGAAUAUGUUAGUACGGGGAUAACUUUAUAACUUGAGUUUAUAUAUUAUUAUCAAUAUUUUUCAAAUAUUGAAAAUUCAUUAAUUUUGUGAAAUCUAAUGUUAAAAAAGGAAGGACAUUCCUCCAUAAAUAACGGAUAGCUAAUAUAUGUUUGAGGAAUGAAUGCCUGAUUAACACUUCUUUUAAAUUUCAAGGUGUCAAAUAACCAUUUCAUCAGUUUUGGUUGGUUUAAUGGAUGGAGAUAGACAGAAGGGAGGAUGGGGGAAACGAAUAAUCCUAAUUCGAAAAUAAUAUGUAAUAUUAUUUUAAAAAGUGUUUUUUUUGUAAUGUAGUGUAAUAUUAUUUUUAAAGUGUUUUUUAAAUUGUAAUUUAUUGAAAUUUUUUUUUUUUUUUUAUAUUAGUAAAUUAAAACUACUAAAAAUUAACUAAAAAUAUCAAUGUAAUAUUUUUAAGAUAAAAAAUAUUUUGAAAAACAUAGAUAUAACAAUAAAAACAAAUAAUUUUAAUGUAGUUAAAUAUAAGCAAGAGGAAGAAUUGAAAUUUGAAACCCCAAUGAAAGUUUGAGGGGGUAAUUUAUACAAACGAGAGAAAUCAAUUUAUUAAGAUUUAGUAGAUUAAUUGAAUAGAUUAUUUUUUUUUACAAAAUUUAACAUUAAAAACCCUUUAACACGUUUCCAAUCACAACAAAAGCUAUAUAAGUAAUAGGUAGUGACCUAUGGAAGCCAGCAAUCCACCUAAGUCAGGUAAGCAGAUGUUGUUAGAAUCUUGGAUUGCUUCUCGUCCUGUUUCUCAACUUCUUCUUUUACAACCUCUUCCUCGUCCUUUUUAGCCUCAUUUUUCUCUACCAUUUCAGCUUCCUUCAUAGUGAUGAACUCGAUGAGACUUUGAAGAGCAACUUGAGGCUCGCCACGUUUCAUAAGCUGCUGUGCGACUUCUGCUGGGGUAAUAACAGGACUUUGAAGGAGAUCUUCUAUGCAUUUGAAAAGGACAUGCUCUUUAAUUCCAAGAUAUGUAGAGGCAAGCUUCUUGAAUGCUGCAGGAGUACAAUGGCCCAUGUAAAUAGGAACAUCCAUUCGUCCUGGUCGCAACAAUGCUGGGUCCAACUUCUCUUUGUAAUUUGUCGUGAAAAUGAUUAUUCUUUCAUCCCCGCAGCUUGACCAUAGCCCAUCAAUGAAGUUCAACAAACCAGAUAAGGUCACCUGUGAGAAGAUUUAAGGAGAAAUAUGAAAUUGGAAAAUUAGGAGACAAUAAGGCAUCGCCUUGAUUAAUGAAUGUUUUCCUUCCAAAAAAACAUCAUUUUUGGUGACUUUACAUAAGCAUAACAUGAUGUUAUUUAUGAAGUCUAGUCAGUAAGGAUUGCAGUUAAGUUCCGAAUAAAAUAAACAGGGGACAUUAAUUCUUUCAGGACUCACUUACCCCAGGAUCAAAAGAAAGCUUAUUAUCAAGUUGAUCACCCCCCUCAUCAUCAUCAUCAUCUUGUUCUUCUUUUGGAUUCUUAUUUCGAUCGCGAGAACGUGAAGAUUUUGUACCGCAGUCAAUGUCCUCAAUGAGAAGAAUGGAACGAUUGGUGGUGGAGGUGAGUAUCCUCCUCAGUUGAGCAUCAUUCCUUACACCUUGAAGCUGGAGAUCAUAGAUGUUGAAUCUGAGAUAGUUUGCAAUGGCAGCGACGAGGGUGGAUUUUCCAGUCCCUGGUGGACCGUAGAGAAGGUACCCUCUUUUCCAAGCUCUACCAACACUCUGAAAGUAGUCCUUUCUUUGCACAAACAAGUCGAGAUCUUCAACUAUGAACUUCUUCAGGUCAGGGUCCAUUGCCAGAGUGUCAAAGGUAGCUGGAUGCUUGAACACAGUAGAUUCCCACAUAGAAUCCUCACUAACAUAAGUAUAGAUAUUGAGGGUCUCUCUGUUGUUCAAGAUUGCAGCUGCAGUCUUGCUAAUGUGUGGCAAGUAGCUUUGCAUGACUUGUUCUCUAUAAUUAUUUUUGCAUUUCAAUUGGAAGUAUUUUUUUUGUUGAUGGUAAAACUUCUUUGAUUCCUUCUCACAGAGAGUCCAUUCAAAACGCAUACCCUGGAAAAAAUCAACAACUUUAACAUCAACAGGAAUCCCUGGUUUUGGUGGGGCAAAGAUGUUGUUGGUAUCAUUGGUGCCUAAGAGAAGGCUUUUAGUGGAAGGGCCAACUUUGGUUGGAAGAUAGACCACAACAGCUCGAAAGGUUUCAUUCUCCACAGCUUGCCAUCGGUCUUCAAUGAUGAAGGUGAAGUCUGAGGAGAAGUAGGUAGCAAAGAAAUCUGAAAAGCUUUUAGCUAUCAAGUCACGCAUACCCGUUGGAAUCAUUUCAUUUAAUAUGGUGCGGAUUAGCAUGGAUAAACCAGAUAUGGAUGCGUAUAU
rnacentral:lncRNA from 1 species